rnacentral:lncRNA from 1 species
CCCGAACGUGCCGCGCGAGCCGCGGUGCCCCCUCCUCUUUGCUGCUGCAGUGUCUGCGCCGGGCCAUUUAAUGAGAUUUAUUCACGCACGGCUCUUCUCAGCUUUGCGAGGGGUUGGCAGAUCCAGUGCACAGGGAUUUCCCACUACCGUGUUUUUCUCCCGCCCCCUUCCUUCCCUCUCGUCCUAAUACAUCCUUCGUUGGUUUCCUCGGCCCCGCAGGCUGCGUCCCGGGCACGCGCAAGUACAUGUAAGGACUUGUCAGCUGCCGGUGACCUCCCUCCUCCCUCGUCGCUCCUCCCCCAGCGGAAUGUAGGAUUAACAGUCUUUCCGAGAAAAUUUUGGCCAAAGAAAAAGGCCUGUGAAAGUCACCGCGUUAGACGUGGCCUCCUCGUGUUUUUCACUAACACGUUAUGGAAGGUUUUACUACCCGAAGGCAUAAAAGCACCACCGUGGGGAAGGGCCGUUUUGAAUAAACAACUUUAUUCAAAAAUCGAGAGGGGGUGAAGCGAUGCAGUUAGGGAAUUUUUGUUUUAAAGAGUAGUAACAUGCAGCUGGCUUGGCUAUUAAAUUGGAAACAAGGGGUUCCUCUCUGACUUGGCCACUGAUAUUGGGCGUGACCUUGGACAAAUAAUUUUGUUUCUUUGGGCUCAGUUUCUACAUAUGUAAAACGGGAAGGUUUCUCUUAAAAACUAAUCCUGAAGGGUUUCUUCUCAACAAAAAGAUGCAAGCUGUAGGAGGCAGAAAGCGUGGGUUCAAGUUCGAAAUUUGCCCCUGAAUUAGGACCCUUGACACAUUUCUAACCCAUCCAAGUAGAGAUCGUUCUUUUACAUUUGUGUGUUAUACAGGUGCAUUUUAGUGGUUACCAGGUUGCCACGUAUUUGAAGUGGUGUGAGAGCUACUCGUUUGGAACCGUUGUGGAUUUUCAAAUAGGAAAAUCAAAAGGCCCAAAGAGACAGCUCACUGUAUUCCCACGAGCAUUCUGCUGAGAUGAACAAUCAGAUGACCUCGUGUGAGAUUUGGAGGAGAGAAGGAAAUGGAGAGCAUGCGUCUGCCGCUUCUGUGGUUUCUGUCGGUAAGCACAGUGAUGAGGUGCUGAGUUUUCCCCAGAAGGCCUCCCAGUGUCCUAUUACCAGCUUCACAAGCGUCGAGGGCAGGGCAUGGGCAUCUAUUGUUCACCAGUGGAGAUCUAUCUGGCACAGAACCGAUCCAACCAUUGCAGUGGUCACAGCGGUGUUGGCUUUCUGAUUCUCAACCUUCCUGACCGCCAGAGGAGACAGCCUCUUUGGUGGCCCUGUUCUGUGGUAUUGUGCUAACCGGUGGUGGGACUAAAACUGUCUCUAUAAUGUUUUAUUUCUUAAAAAAAAAUUCUGAAGCAAAUGUGACAAUAUGUUAACAUUCUUAAAAUCUGGGUAGUGGGAACAUGGAUGUUGUUAUUUGUGGUGUGUUUGAAAUUGUGUCAUAUUAUAAAUUUUAAAAAAAUGUUUUGACUACAAAAUCUCUAUGUAUAUGCCCAGUUUUUGUAGAUUGUUGCUUACGCUUUUCAUAUUUUUACCCAAGGAGUAAUCAGGAAUUCUAAAAGUCUUAUGUAACAGGAUU